rnacentral:misc_RNA from 1 species
GAACUGCGAUAAGUAAUGUGAAUUGCAGAAUUCAGUGAAUCAUCGAGUCUUUGAACGCACAUUGCGCCCCCUGGCAUUCCGGGGGGCAUGCCUGUCCGAGCGUCAUUGCUGCCCUUCAAGCCCGGCUUGUGUGUUGGGUCGUCGUCCCCUCCGGGGGACGGGCCCGAAAGGCAGCGGCGGCACCGCGUCCGGUCCUCGAGCGUAUGGGGCUUUGUCACCCGCUCGAUAAGGACCGGCCGGGCGCCAGCCGGCGUCUCCAACCUUUUUUUCUCAGAUUGACCUCGGAUCAGGUAGGGAUACCCGCUGAACUUAAGC